AUGCUAAUGGAUGGCUUUUCUAAGGAGGGUGAAGCAAGCAAAGCAUGUGAUGUCUUCCACGAAAUGAUACAACAGGGGGUAGUGCCUACUGAGGUGACAUAUAGCUCCAUUAUCAAUGCGCUAUGCAAAGCAAGAGCAAUAGAUAAAGCAGAGGUGGUCCUUCGACAUAUGGUUCAUAAUGGUGUCCAACCAGAUGUUGUGACAUAUAAUAGUUUGAUCCAAAGAUUUUUAAGUUCGGGGCAGCUGAAAGAAGCCAUUAGGUUGUUGAAACUAAUGACAAGCCAAGGUAUUAUGCCAAACGUUGUUACCUGCAACUCAGUCAUGACCUACCAUUGCAAGAAUGGAAGAGUCAAAGAAGCUGCCGAAAUAUUUUAUUCCAUGGCUGUGAAGGGCCGAAAACCUAACGUCAUCUCAUACUCUAUUAUGCUCCAUGGGUACGCUAUACAAGGACCCCUUGUUGAAAUGAUUGACCUCUGUGAGCUGAUGGCAAGAGAUGGAGUUGUACCCAACCUCCAUUGUUUCAACAUACUGAUUAAUGCAUAUGCUAAGUAUGGUAGGAUGGAUGUGGCCAUGCUUUUCUUUGAAGACAUGUUGAAGCAGGGUGUGAAGCCUAAUGAAUUCACUUAUUUAACUAUGAUGUCUGCAUUUUGCAAGAUGGGCAGGAUGGAUGAUGUGAUGGAAAAAUUAAGUGAGAUGAUUGAUAUGGGAGUACCAGUUGACACAGAAGUUUGCAUGUGCAUGGUUGAGGGUUAUUUUAAUCAUGGUGAUUCCAUGAAAGCCAAGGAAUUUAUUACCAAAAUGAAGAACAUGGAUAUUCAUCAUAAGCCACAAAAAGGUAAUCGA
rnacentral:rRNA from 1 species